AAGGCCAGGUCACUGCCCUCUCUCAGGGAGGAGUCAGACCUCUAGUCUAAGCUGGCCCUGCACUGAUGAGCUAAAAUGAGGCUGUGGCUGCUGAGUUUGGUGGCAGGGGUCACCUUGGGGGUGGCCGGGACCCCUCUGGGAAAAGUCUCAACAGGAAGAAAACAAGCAGAGGAGGAAAAGGCAGGACAGGACAAGCUCAAGAAAACAAAGAGAGACUUCUUUAUAAUUGGUGGUUACUCAGGAAUAACUGAACUUGAUCCCUACAAAGAGUCCCUGGGUACCCUGGACCUUCAAAGGACCAUCCUCCUCCAGUUGCUUAACCAGACAAAGGCUAUGAACAGGAGCUCGGAAAUGGAUUUUACCCUUCAGAAUCUAAAUGGCAGCAGCAUCAGAGAUCUCUGUGAGGGCUGCUGUGAGGAGAGAGAGAAAGAGGAGCCAAACCUAAGCAGGAAACUAAGUAUGACAUUGAAGUCUCCCAGGAAGAGAAGACCUGGCCAGUGGACACUCCUUAGGGGUGUGGCUCUCCCGCUUGAGAACAGUUCCAUCAAUAUGGUGAUAAUGUUUCAUAAUGGCACUCAUAUCGGCUAUCAAGAUAAGAAAGUCACACACCAGGCUGAGAACCUCAGAGAAGGGUGGUGCUCUGGCUGCUGCGAAGACAGUGAAACUGUGGUGGUCCUUGAGAGAAGAGAGGGAGAAGAAGUCAGAGAAGUGCCUCCUAUUACCACUGAUCAUGGUGGUCAGGUCCUAGGGAACUCUGGCUCCACAGAGAUGAGAUUUGCUCACCUCUCCGAAGUUUCCCAUGAAGCUGGAGGGCAGUUUGAUCUCAGCUAAACAGUGCUCUAGUCUGGGCCUCUACCUUGAAUAAG
rnacentral:lncRNA from 1 species